rnacentral:rRNA from 1 species
AUUGAACGCUGGCGGCAGGCUUAACACAUGCAAGUCGAGCGGUAACAGAGAGAAGCUUGCUUCUCUGCUGACGAGCGGCGGACGGGUGAGCAAUGCCUAGGAAUCUGCCUAGUAGUGGGGGAUAACUUGCCGAAAGGUAAGCUAAUACCGCAUACGUCCUACGGGAGAAAGGAGGGGACCUUCGGGCCUUUCGCUAUUAGAUGAGCCUAGGUCGGAUUAGUUAGUUGGUGAGGUAAUGGCUCACCAAGACCGCGAUCCGUAACUGGUCUGAGAGGAUGAUCAGUCACACUGGGACUGCGACACGGUCCAGACUCCUACGGGAGGCAGCAGUGGGGAAGAUUGGACAAUGGGGGGAACCCUGAUCCAGCCAUGCCGGGUGGGUGAAGAAGGUCUUAGGAUUGUAAAGCACUUUAAGUUGGGAGGAAGAGCAGUUAACUAAUAUUUGACGGUUUUGACGUUACCGACAGAAUAAGCACCGGCUAACUUCGUGCCAGCCGCCGCCGUAA